rnacentral:tRNA from 1 species
GAGAGUAUAGCUCAGGGGUAGAGUAUAUGCCUAGCAGGCACAAGGUCCUGGGUUCAACCCCAGUACCUCCA